UUUACUAUGUUUGAAAUCAAUGAGACUUACAACAGGCUGGCCUUGGAACACAUUCAACAGCAACCUGAGGAGCCCCUUGAAGGAACCACAUGGACACACUCCUGGAAAUCUCGAUUACUCUUCUUGCCUUUUUGGUUGUGGACAAUUAUUUUUCUAAUACCUUACUUACAGAUGUUUCUGUUCUUUUACUUGUGUACAAGAGCUGAUCCCAAAACACUGAGCUACUGUAUCAUCCCUAUAUGAUUGGCAGUUAUUUGCAAUCGCCACCAGGCAUUUGUCAAGGUUUCUAAUCAGAUCAGCAGACUACAACUGAUUGAC
rnacentral:lncRNA from 1 species